GUCAUGUGUCCUUAAGGGGUUAAAUGUUUCUAUCAUAUCCCCCCUGUCUCGUCUUUCCUCCAAGCUAUACAUGUUAAGAUCCUUUAACCUUUCCUGGUAAGUUUUAUCCCGCAAUUCAUGAACCAGUUUAGUAGCCCUUCUCUGAACCCUCUCUAAGGUAUCAAUAUCCUUCUGAAGAUACGGUCUCCAGUACUGUAUACAAUACUCCAAGUGAGGUCUCACCAG